AGGAUAUAGAAUGCUCUGCCUGAAGAAGUGGUUUUAUCAGAGUCCAUACAGAUGUUCAAACGGCUACUAGAUGCAUACUUGCAAAAACAGAAUAUUCAAGGAUAUAAUCUUUCAAUGUAGGGUAAUAACUGCUUGAUCCAAGGAUAAAUCUGACUGCCAUUCUGGGGUCAAGAAGGAAUUUUUUUCCUAGCUUGUUGCAAAAUUGUGCUU
rnacentral:lncRNA from 1 species